rnacentral:rRNA from 1 species
UAGGGAAUCUUCGGCAAUGGGGGCAACCCUGACCGAGCAACGCCGCGUGAGUGAAGAAGGUUUUCGGAUCGUAAAGCUCUGUUGUAAGAGAAGAACGUGUGUGAGAGUGGAAAGUUCACACAGUGACGGUAACUUACCAGAAGGGACGGCUAACUACGUGCUAG